CAGCCGCCGCGGGAAUACAGAGGGUGCGAGCGUUAAUCGGAUUUACUGGGCGUAAAGCGUGCGUAGGCGGCUUCUUAAGUCGGAUGUGAAAUCCCUGAGCUUAACUUAGGAAUUGCAUUCGAUACUGGGAAGCUAGUAUGGGAGAGGAUGGUAGAAUUCCAGGUGUAGCGGUGAAAUGCGUAGAGAUCUGGAGGAAUACCGAUGGCGAAGGCAGCCAUCUGGCCUAAUACUGACGCUGAGGUACGAAAGCAUGGGGAGCAAACAGGAUUAGAUACCCGGGUAGUCCCUGUCUCUUAUACAC
rnacentral:rRNA from 1 species